AAAGGCGCGCGAUACAGGGUGACAGCCCCGUACACAAAAGCGCAUGUGCUGUGAGCUCGAUGAGUAGGGCGGGACACGUGGUAUCCUGUCUGAAUAUGGGGGGACCAUCCUCCAAGGCUAAAUACUCCUGACUGACCGAUAGUGAACCAGUACCGUGAGGGAAAGGCGAAAAGAACCCCGGCGAGGGGAGUGAAAAAGAACCUGAAACCGUGUACGUACAAGCAGUGGGAGCACAGGUUUACCUGUGUGACUGCGUACCUUUUGUAUAAUGGGUCAGCGACUUAUAUUCUGUAGCAAGGUUAACCGUAUAGGGGAGCCGGAGGGAAACCGAGUCUUAACCGGGCGUUAAGUUGCAGGGUAUAGACCCGAAACCCGGUGAUCUAGCCAUGGGCAGGUUGAAGGUUGGGUAACACUAACUGGAGGACCGAACCGACUAAUGUUGAAAAAUUAGCGGAUGACCUGUGGCUGGGGGUGAAAGGCCAAUCAAACCGGGAGAUAGCUGGUUCUCCCCGAAAGCUAUUUAGGUAGCGCCUCGUGAAUUCAUCUCCGGGGGUAGAGCACUGUUUCGGCUAGGGGGCCAUCCCGGCUUACCAACCCGAUGCAAACUGCGAAUACCGGAGAAUGUUAUCACGGGAGACACACGGCGGGUGCUAACGUCCGUCGUGAAGAGGGAAACAACCCAGACCGCCAGCUAAGGUCCCAAAGUCAUGGUUAAGUGGGAAACGAUGUGGGAAGGCCCAGACAGCCAGGAUGUUGGCUUAGAAGCAGCCAUCAUUUAAAGAAAGCGUAAUAGCUCACUGGUCGAGUCGGCCUGCGCGGAAGAUGUAACGGGGCUAAACCAUGC
rnacentral:rRNA from 1 species